rnacentral:rRNA from 1 species
GACGAACGCUGGCGGCGUGCCUAACACAUGCAAGUCGAGCGAGUGAAUCUCCUUCGGGAGUGAAGCUAGCGGCGGACGGGUGAGUAACACGUGGGCAACCUGCCUCCUAGAGGGGAAUAGACUUCCGAAAGGGAGAUUAAUACCGCAUAAGAUUGUAGCUUCGCAUGAAGUAGCAAUUAAAGGAGCAAUCCGCUAUGAGAUGGGCCCGCGGCGCAUUAGCUAGUUGGUGAGGUAACGGCUCACCAAGGCGACGAUGCGUAGCCGACCUGAGAGGGUGAUCGGCCACAUUGGGACUGAGACACGGCCCAGACUCCUACGGGAGGCAGCAGUGGGGAAUAUUGCACAAUGGGGGAAACCCUGAUGCAGCAACGCCGCGUGAGUGAUGACGGCCUUCGGGUUGUAAAGCUCUGUCUUCAGGGACGAUAAUGACGGUACCUGAGGAGGAAGCCACGGCUAACUACGUACCAGCAGCCGCGGUAAGAC